rnacentral:tRNA from 1 species
GGUAUUAUAGCUCAACGGUAGAGUGCUUGCCUCGCAUGUGCAAGGACCUGGGUUCAAUCCCUAGUGCCA